GGGGGCAACCCUGGCGGCGAGUGGCGAACGGGUGAGUAAUAUAUCGGAACGUGCCCAAGAGUGGGGGAUAGCCCGGCGAAAGCCGGAUUAAUACCGCAUACGAUCUAUGGAUGAAAGCGGGGGAUCGCAAGACCUCGCGCUCCUGGAGCGGCCGAUAUCUGAUUAGCUAGUUGGUGGGGUAAAAGCCCACCAAGGCGACGAUCAGUAGCUGGUUUGAGAGAACGACCAGCCACACUGGGACUGAGACACGGCCCAGACUCCUACGGGAGGCAGCAGUGGGGAAUUUUGGACAAUGGGGGCAACCCUGAUCCAGCAAUGCCGCGUGAGUGAAGAAGGCCUUCGGGUUGUAAAGCUCUUUUGUCCGGAACGAAACGGUGAGCGCUAAUACCGCUUACUAAUGACGGUACCGGAAGAAUAAGCACCGGCUAACUACGUGCCAGCAGCCGCGGUAAUACGUAGGGUGCAAGCGUUAAUCGGAAUUACUGGGCGUAAAGCGUGCGCAGGCGGUUGUGCAAGACAGAUGUGAAAUCCCCGGGCUUAACCUGGGAAUUGCAUUUGUGACUGCACGGCUAGAGUGUGUCAGAGGGGGGUAGAAUUCCACGUGUAGCAGUGAAAUGCGUAGAUAUGUGGAGGAAUACCGAUGGCGAAGGCAGCCCCCUGGGAUAACACUGACGCUCAUGCACGAAAGCGUGGGGAGCAAACAGGAUUAGAUACCCUGGUAGUCCACGCCCUAAACGAUGUCGACUAGUUGUCGGGGAUUCAUUUCCUUGGUAACGCAGCUAACGCGUGAAGUCGACCGCCUGGGGAGUACGGUCGCAAGAUUAAAACUC
rnacentral:rRNA from 1 species